rnacentral:rRNA from 1 species
GACGAACGCUGGCGGCGUGCCUAAUACAUGCAAGUAGAACGCACAGUUUAUACCGUAGCUUGCUCCACCAUAGACUGUGAGUUGCGAACGGGUGAGUAACGCGUAGGUAACCUGCCUGGUAGCGGGGGAUAACUAUUGGAAACGAUAGCUAAUACCGCAUAAUAUUGAUUAUUGCAUGAUAAUUAAUUGAAAGGUGCAAUCGCACCACUACCAGAUGGACCUGCGUUGUAUUAGCUAGUAGGUGAGGUAACGGCUCACCUAGGCGACGAUACAUAGCCGACCUGAGAGGGUGAUCGGCCACACUGGGACUGAGACACGGCCCAGACUCCUACGGGAGGCAGCAGUAGGGAAUCUUCGGCAAUGGACGAAAGUCUGACCGAGCAACGCCGCGUGAGUGAAGAAGGUUUUCGGAUCGUAAAGCUCUGUUGUAAGAGAAGAACGGGUGUGAGAGUGGAAAGUUCACACUGUGACGGUAUCUUACCAGAAAGGGACGGCUAACUACGUG